UGGGGAAUCUUGCGCAAUGGGCGAAAGCCUGACGCAGCAACGCCGCGUGGGGGACGAAGGCCUUCGGGUUGUAAACCCCUUUCAGCAGGAACGAUGAUGACGGUACCUGCAGAAGAAGGCCCGGCCAACUACGUGCCAGCAGCCGCGGUAACACGUAGGGGCCAAGCGUUGUCCGGAUUUAUUGGGCGUAAAGCGCUCGUAGGCGGUUCGGUAAGUCGGGUGUGAAAACUCUGGGCUCAACUCAGAGACGCCACCCGAUACUGCCGUGACUUGAGUUCGGUAGGGGAGCAGGGAAUUCCUGGUGUAGCGGUGAAAUGCGCAGAUAUCAGGAGGAACACCGGUGGCGAAGGCGCUGCUCUGGGCCGAUACUGACGCUGAGGAGCGAAAGCGUGGGGAGCAAACAGG
rnacentral:rRNA from 1 species